UACGGGGGGAGCAAGCGUUGUUCGGAUUUACUGGGCGUAAAGGGCGCGUAGGCGGCGCAACAAGUCACUUGUGAAAUCUCCGGGCUUAACCCGGAGCGGCCAAGUGAUACUGUCGUGCUAGAGUGCGGAAGGGGCUACUGGAAUUCUCGGUGUAGCGGUGAAAUGCGUAGAUAUCGAGAGGAACACCUGCGGCGAAGGCGGGUUGCUGGGCUGAUACUGACGCUGAGGCGCGAAAGCCGGGGGAGCGAACGGG
rnacentral:rRNA from 1 species